rnacentral:snRNA from 1 species
AUACUUACCUGGUGCUGGGCUGUUCGGUGGUCAUGAUGGCCGGCGCCCCAAGUGGAGGCCGACCAUUGCACUGCGGUCGGCUGAAGCUUGCCACUACCCCCAAACUGGGCAGAUGGGGCAUGCAAUUUUAAGAGCGAAUGCUCUUU